UCUCUCUCUCAUCUAUUUCCUUUCAUUUUGUAGCCUCUUUUUUCCUUUCGUGUAUACCUAGGGCUUCAUCUACAAAACCGCAUCCAUCAACCACGCAUGACUAGGAUCAAUUCAUCAUCUUUAUCUCACGUUGCAGCCACUAUCAAGCUUCCUCCCUGGUCUAAACAUUUUCGUUUACACUGUUGGUUCCCUCUUUCAAUCUUAAUCGAUUCCAACUGCAAUAGGGUUUUGUUUUCUUAUAAAAAUGCAAACAGAAGGGAGGGUACGAAGUGGAUUCAGAGACAGAUCGAGAAGGGGGAGGGUGUAGCAGCGGUUUUAGAAGUGAUUUUGGUGUUGUCGUGCGGUAUUCGGUGGCUCAACGAGCCGACGGUAGCCCUAGUGGUUGGAAGCUAUGAUUAUUAUUCUGGUAUGUAUUGCUUAAAAACCCAACGAAUCUGAUAAAUUUUAGGGAUUCCACUUAACUUCCAUGAUCAGUGAAAGAUGCGGGAAAGAAUGGGUGUGACUGAAAGAGAGAUCGAGAAGGAGGAGGAUGUAGCAGGGGUGGCGAUACGGUGGUAUUAGGGCAGGGAAAGGAGCCGACAGCGGACCUGGUUUUCUGAAAUAGUUUGUGUUCCUACUGUUUCUUUACAUACAAGUGAAAUGCAUUCAAGAAGUGAAGGAAUCUACGGGAAAUCGAUGGGAGUUCUCCCUGUUCGUGUUGCAAUUGGUUUCCGAUGACAAAGCUUCGACAUUUGGUUGUUUGGUGAUCGAGAAGGGCUGCAUCGAUUCAACAACAGAUGGGUCAAGUAAAUACGGAUGACCUAAAUGAUUGUAAUGACAAAGGAUGAAUGAACAUCUUCAACAACUUGGAAGGAAUAGAAAUGUAUUUUAUUCAACAGGUAAGGGCUCCUUUUUUUUUUCUUCUUGUUUGAUUUGGCAGCGACAGUAAAGGGAGUGACGGGAAGGAAGCCUUCAAUCCACCUUGGGCUACGAAGAACUCAAUAGUACCGAUUCACUCUUGAUGUCGCUGUAGUCGAUCGACAAUAAAAAACGGAUCAUGAAGGGGGGUGCGUGAAUGGUUGUAUUUAUUUAUGAAUAGCACGUGUAUUCAUUUAUGAAUAACAUUGUAGUUAUGUGUGAAUGGUUGUAUUCAUUUAUUAAUAGUAGUGUAUUAAUGUGAA